rnacentral:rRNA from 1 species
GCAAGUCGAGGGGCAGCAUGGUAGGUAGCAAUACUUAUUGAUGGCGACCGGCGCACGGGUGAGUAACGCGUAUGCAACUUACCUAUCAGAGGAGGAUAGCCCGGCGAAAGUCGGAUUAAUACUCCAUAAAACAGGGAUCCCGCAUGGGAAUAUUUGUUAAAGAUUCAUCGCUGAUAGAUAGGCAUGCGUUCCAUUAGGUUGUUGGCGGGGUAACGGCCCACCAAGCCUUCGAUGGAUAGGGGUUCUGAGAGGAAGGUC